UUCCGGUUGAUCCUGCCGGAGGCUACCGCUAUUGGAGUUCGAUUAAGCCAUGCGAGUCGCGAGUCUUAGGGACUCGGCGUACCGCUCAGUAACACGUGGGUAACCUGCCCUAUGCUGGGGGAUAACCUCGGGAAACUGAGAAUAAUACCCCAUAGUUCACCACGCCUGGAACGGUGGGUGGAUGAAAGCUCCGGCGGCAUAGGAUGGGCCUGCGGCGUAUCAGGUUGUAGGGGGUGUAAUGUACCCUCUAGCCAUCUACGCGUACGGGUGUUGGGAGACAUCGCCCGGAGAUGGAUUCUGAGACACGAAUCCAGACCCUACGGGGUGCAGCAGGCGCGAAAACUUGGCAAUGCGAGCAAUCGUGACCAGGGAACUCCAAGUGCAUCGGGUAAUACCGAUGCUUUUCUUGACUCUUCAAAGGUCUUGGAAUAAGGGGUGGGUAAGGACGGUGCCAGCCGCCGCGGUAAUACCGGCGCCUCAAGUGGUAGUCGCUUUUAUUGGGCCUAAAACGUCCGUAGCCGGUUUGGUACAUUCGUGGGUAAAUCAAGGCGCUCAACGUCUUGAAUUCUGCGAGCACGGCCAGACUUGGGACCGGGUGAGGUGUGGGGUACUCUCAGGGUAGGGGUAAAAUCCUGUCAUCCUGAGAGGACCACCUGUUGCGAAGGCGCCACACUAGAACGGAUCCGACGGUCAGGGACGAAGCCUAGGGGCACGAACCGGAUUAGAUACCCGGGUAGUCCUAGGUGUAAACGCUGUGGACUUGAUGUUGGGAGUGCUCCGAGCACCCUCAGUGUCGAAGCGAAGGUGAUAAGUCCACUGCCUGGGGAGUACGGUCGCAAGGCUGAAACUUAAAGGAAUUGGCGGGGGAGCACUGCAACCUGAGGAUUGUGCGGUUUAAUUGGAUUCAACGCCGG
rnacentral:rRNA from 1 species